UCAGCAUAUAUUUUACUCAUUUUUAAUGCAUAUGGUGAGGUGCAUCAUAUCACUGUUUUGGGUUUUUACUUUUUGUACCAAAACAAGGUCGUACCCAGUGCACAAGGCUCCUGCUUUACUUUUUGUACCAAAACAAGGAAUCAACAAAAUGUAAUAAAAAGAGAAACAAGAAAAGCAGCAAAGUUGUAUGUAUAGUGGUAGAACUUUGGCUUUGGUCUCCAGCAAGCUACAUUUUUCAGACUCAAAUCCCAAUUCCUAACAAGCACAACAUACCAAUAACCAAAUAUCUUGCUUCAGUAAUACCCUACUACAUAUCACAAACAAAAACUCCUUGAUAACCGGAAUUAUUUCAACAACUGAUCUUUUAGGACAUGGGACCCAAAUAACGAGCAAAUGAAACAUAUUUCUCAAGCUACCAAACAAGCAAUUGGUCAAUUUCAUAUUCAUCAUUCCAACACAUCCAAAACCAAUUUGAACGUAUAAAACUCCAACAGAAUAGUGCACUCAAAUUACAUGAUCGUCAAUAAAUAAGGAAAGAGACCAAAUGACCAACUAUAGGUGUUAGAUAGAUGAACGUAUGUAUGUAUCUGGCAUGUGCAUAAGAUAUCCUAACUUCUACUCUGCCACUUAACUGAAAUUUUCCAGCGAAGUUUCUUAUUUGACAUGUAUGUCAGAAUGGAAAAGUAUAAAAGAAACCCUAGAUAGCUAGACUCUGCAUAAAAGCUUCGUUUUGAUUUCUUUCAAGUACUCGAACUGAAGAUUACCAAACAGCUUCGCAAGUAUGCUGCCACACAUCCUGGCAUAAAUUCACUUAGCAUCACAUAAUUAUUGACCAGGUUAAGUUCUUUAUAUGCUACUUAGAAUCUGGUUAUGGCACUCUACAGCAUUCUUAAGUCAUACAUGCAUUAUAUUUCAUGAAUCUUCCUCCAAACUAUAUAUUGCAGGCUAUUUGAAGGCUUCACAUUCCAUAAUUUUCAUUAAAUACCAUAAUACCUGUAAUUCCUAUAAUCUAAAUAUCAAAGAAUUGUAAAUAAAUAAAACUUUUUAUAAACUCCUACAAGCAAACAGUCGCACACAAAAAAUGAAAAAUAUUAUACUCUAAGACUGAAAAUUUAAUUUAUAAGAAUAGAAAAGCUCAAACUUCAGGCAAUUUCCCAAUUCAAUCAAGCGCCCAAAAAAUGAUUACAAUUCACCUAAAAUUCAAAAGAAACUUUAAAAACCAAGCUGAGUACACACUACAAGAACCUCAAAGAGUCCAAAAAAACAAAAAUCCCCAAAUUUACAA
rnacentral:lncRNA from 1 species